GAGGAAUGCCAUAAAGAGGAUCAAAGAGAAGAGGAAAGCCUUGUCUUUCACGAACUGUUCCCAGCCAAUCAGCUUCCUGCCGUCCCAGAGGGGUCCGGCCCAGUCGUGGACCCACAGUCUGCCCCGUCCCUCCAGCCCAGAGACCAGCGAGACCUCAGGCCCCGGCAGCACCACCUCUACCUCACUGGUCAUCAAGAACGAAAGUUAUGGAAAAGAAAGUAGUUUUGUGAGCUUCUCCUUGAAACC